rnacentral:sRNA from 1 species
UUUCCAGGAAUUUCCUGUACCACGAACAG